rnacentral:rRNA from 1 species
AUUGAACGCUGGCGGCAGGCCUAACACAUGCAAGUCGAGCGAGCGGCGGACGGGUGAGUAAUGUCUGGGAAACUGCCUGAUGGAGGGGGAUAAAUACUGGAAACGGUAGCUAAUACAGCAUACCAUCAGAUGUGCCCAGAUGGGAUUAGCUAGUAGGUGGGGUAACGGCUCACCGAGGCGACGAUCCCUAGCUGGUCUGAGAGGAUGACCAGCCACACUGGAACUGAGACACGGUCCAGACUCCUACGGGAGGCAGCAGUGGGGAAUAUUGCACACUGGGCGCAAGCCUGAGGCAGCCAUGCCGCGUGUAGGAAGAAGGCCGUCGGGUUGUAAAGUACUUUCAGCGGGGAGGCGUUACCCGCAGAAGAAGCACCGGCUAACUCCGUGCCAGCAGCCGCGGUAAUAC